GGAGUCUAGGGCAAUCUGAUGUGACAUCUAACACUCCAUUUGGUGGCCAGGGAGGAUUCAGCUGAGCUGGCUGGCUAGGCAGGUGUCCCCUUCUACCCUCCCUACUUCCCCCUUGAAGCUGUGUGCUCAGUGGAUGAGGAUGACCUUCCCCAAACAGAGAUGGGCAGGUUUUCAGCUUGGGGUAUACAAGUUAACUAUGUUCCCAUGCUAGAACCUCCAAACAAACACACAAACACUCAAGGAAAGUAGAGAUCUAUUAAUAGAGAGCAUGAGCUGCUCAAACUCUUCUU
ensembl:misc_RNA 7SK 7SK RNA